GAUGAACGCUGGCGGCGUGCCUAAUACAUGCAAGUCGAGCGAACAGGCGAGGAGCUUGCUCCUCUGACGUUAGCGGCGGACGGGUGAGUAACACGUGGAUAACCUACCUAUAAGACUGGGAUAACUUCGGGAAACCGGAGCUAAUACCGGAUAAUAUAUUGAACCGCAUGGUUCAAUAGUGAAAGACGGUUUUGCUGUCACUUAUAGAUGGAUCCGCGCCGCAUUAGCUAGUUGGUAAGGUAACGGCUUACCAAGGCAACGAUGCGUAGCCGACCUGAGAGGGUGAUCGGCCACACUGGAACUGAGACACGGUCCAGACUCCUACGGGAGGCAGCAGUAGGGAAUCUUCCGCAAUGGGCGAAAGCCUGACGGAGCAACGCCGCGUGAGUGAUGAGGUCUUCGGAUCGUAAAACUCUGUUAUUAGGGAAGAACAAAUGUGUAAGUAACUAUGCACGUCUUGACGGUACCUAAUCAGAAAGCCACGGCUAACUACGUG
rnacentral:rRNA from 1 species